GUAAUCUGGCAUCUGGACUACAAUUCCCAAGAUGCCCCGGGAGCGAGCGCACUUUCGGACGCCGUCUCCGGGACCUGGAGGUGAUAAUGAGGUGGUGCAGAAGUGAAGCUUCGGGUAUUUAAACACAUCCGGUCACCAACACAGGAGCUUGGGAACAUGCAGACCACAGUGCCAUUAGUCAAGCAUUUCAUGAGGUUUCUAUGAUAUUCCAUAAGGCAAGAUGGAGAAACUGAACUAGAGUGCGGUGCUGUGGAUGAGGCAGCAAUCAGCUGAAUUAGGAACAGGAACUGUCAGGAUGUCUACAGCACUGAAGCCCAGGACUCCAGCCUGCACCAGGCUCUCACCAAUGCUUGGAAAGUCUAUGUACUCAAGGUAUGCUCAUCGGGUUUGUAACAAGGCUACCAGAAGUUGGAGGCAAGAUAAACACCAGAAGACUAUAAAAGUCAGUUGGGGGCCCUCAGCAGUGAAAGCACAGGUUCUUACACAGGACCUGGGUUUGGUUCCAAGCAUAUCAUGGCUCACAACCAUCCAGAACUCUACAUGGACAUCCCAAAUGCAAGUGGUGCAUGUACAUCCACUCAUGCAAACACUCAUACAUGUCAAAUAAAAAUGUUUAAUUUUUAACAUGAA